rnacentral:rRNA from 1 species
GAUGAACGCUAGCGGCAGGCCUAACACAUGCAAGUCGAGGGGUAACUAGAGUGAUAGCAAUAUUACUUUGGCUAGACCGGCACACGGGUGCGUAACACGUAUGCAACCUACCUUAUACUGGGGAAUAACUUCGAGAAAUCGGCCCUAACACCCCAUAACAUUGGGAAGAGGCAUCUCUUUGCAAUUAAAGCUCCGGCGGUAUAAGAUGGGCAUGCGUCCAAUUAGCUAGUUGGUGAGGUAACGGCUCACUAAGGCUACGAUUGGUAGGGGUUCGGAGAGGAUGAUCCCCCACACUGGUACUGAGACACGGACCAGACUCCUACGGGAGGCAGCAGUGAGGAAUAUUGCGCAAUGGACGAAAGUCUAACGCAGCCAUGCCGCGUGCAGGAUGACGGCCCUAUGGGUUGUAAACUGCUUUUGUACGGGAAUAAACCCUUCUACGUGUAGGAGGCUGAAGGUACCGUAAGAAUAAGCACCGGCUAACUCCGUGCCAGCAGCCGCCGUAACAC